AUUAAGUAGCUGAGUGGGUAACGUGAUGGCGUUUGAAACGAAAGAUACUGGGUUCGAGUCCCAGAGAGAACA
rnacentral:tRNA from 1 species